CCUACGGGUGGCAGCAGUGGGGAAUAUUGGACAAUGGGGGAACCCUGAUCCAGCCAUGCCGCGUGUGUGAAGAAGGCCCUCGGGUUGUAAAGCACUUUCAGUGAGGAAGAACGCCUGGUGGUUAAUACCCAUCAGGAAAGACAUCACUCACAGAAGAAGCACCGGCUAACUCCGUGCCAGCAGCCGCGGUAAUACGGAGGGUGCGAGCGUUAAUCGGAAUUACUGGGCGUAAAGCGCGCGUAGGUGGCUUGAUAAGCCGGUUGUGAAAGCCCCGGGCUCAACCUGGGAACGGCAUCCGGAACUGUCAAGCUAGAGUGCAGGAGAGGAAGGUAGAAUUCCCGGUGUAGCGGUGAAAUGCGUAGAGAUCGGGCGGAAUACCAGUGGCGAAGGCGGCCUGCUGGACUGACACUGACACUGAGGUGCGAAAGCGUGGGUAGCAAACAGGAUUAGAUACCCUAGUAGUC
rnacentral:rRNA from 1 species